UACAGAGGUCCCAAGCGUUGUUCGGAUUCACUGGGCGUAAAGGGUGCGUAGGUGGCCAGGUAAGUUUGGUGUGAAAGCUCGGAGCUUAACUCCGAAAAGUCAUUGAAUACUAUCUGGCUGGAGGGUCGGAGGGGAGACUGGAAUUCUCGGUGUAGCAGUGAAAUGCGUAGAUAUCGAGAGGAACACCAGUGGCGAAGGCGAGUCUCUGGACGACUCCUGACACUGAUGCGCGACAGCAUGGGGAGCAAACAGG
rnacentral:rRNA from 1 species